UGGUGGCGCCAAGGGACGACAGCAUGCGACGGGGUGUUCGUUCUCGGCGUGAUCGUUCUCUGGCCCGCGCCGACCGCGCGUUGUUCAACAUUGCGUGUGUGAUUGUGCUUGCGUUGCUUGUGAAUUGGUUGUAGGUUCUGUGUUACUUGGCGGAAAGCCGUGAGUAGUGCUUGUGUGGCAGUGCGGCUUUGGCCUCGGUGAGCUCUGGCAAUACAGAAGCUGCGUUGUGUGAUCCGUGUUCCUUGACAAUGCGGAGGUGGUGACGAUUGAAAUGUCGAAGUGGCGUCGCCGUGUCCGCCUUUGCAUAACGGACGUCGAGGGAUGUGCUGCUCUCUACAAGUCACAAAAAUGUGACUGCGUCGACCGCCCACGGUUCAGCGCUGAAUGUGUGGUUUGAGUACGUGCUUGAAACGAGUGGCGCAGCUGUGGUGCCCUAAUUUCGCACAAUUGAGACGCGUGCUUUUGUGCAAAAAGAGCAACAAAUCGUAUCUUAACCCGCUGAGACGAUGCUACAAUGUCAACAAUGCCGUGCAUGUUUAUUAUGAUGGUAGUCUCUACAGCAAGCAAGCGUGCAGUGCAGCUAUGCUGUGAAUAUAGCCUCAACUCGAAUGUGGCGUUUGCAGAACCCUUAUGUUUGUUUCUGCUUUCAAACAAGCUGUAUGUUGUUAGGAUUGUCACUCACUGCUCACAUGAGACAUGGGAGUCCAUCGUGUGGGUUGGGGCUCAGCACGAAUGUGUGGUGAGGGGGUGUGGAGUUGGUGGCUGUGUCAGGUGCCUCACUGAAUUUUGCCAUUGGAAUAAGCUCAAUGUAGGACACACCCUAUACCUGAUGGCUCACUUUCACGGAUAUUGCCUUUUUUUCCUUGAAAUUUCCAGCCUCAGGACGCGCCUCACAUUAUAUUCGGGUUCGUGACACAUAUAAUCACAAUAAAUUUUUCUUUAGGAAAGACCAAAAGCCGCCUGUUGCAUCAUAUUUGUGGUCGUGUUACUUACAUGCAAAUCCAGUACUUUCAGUGCCCAUUGACUGACUGAGGGGUGCAGGACUUUGGCAGUGGUAGCAGCACCAAAGCAGCUGCCCAAAUGGUAUACCCUAUAGUGUUAGAUUUCUUGUGCACAUGGGUGUACUGUGAAAACACGUGAAAGGAAUUCCACAGUUGCUGCAGCAUCACGUCUGGAUCUGUGGAGGUUGUUUGAUCACAUGUCUGAACUUCUGUUGUCACUGAGCGGUUCUUUGAUCAUUAGCUUAGCUGUCUGUUUUCUACAUAUUAUAUUACAGCAAUGGCGUCAGAGUAGCUGCAAAAAUGGGAUUUUGCUGUACAAUCGCAGGUUGGUUGCUUUUCUGACUGUUACAUUGCUCUAUUUGCUGCAACUGCCGCCAAAUGUUGCUUUACAAUGUCUGGUGAAUGCCUUAAACAUGAACCACAUUUGGAUGAUGCUUGUGAAAGUAUAACAUACUCCUUGUAUGUAAAGAAAACUAUCACACCGGUAGGUGUGGUGGAGUCACUGAUGAAAUAGAAGUUGAAAAAUGAAAGUUCUCACAAAAUUUGGAAGUGUUCAUGGCGCUUGCCAUCAAAAAUGUGUAACAAUCCAAGCAAACAUAAAGAUAACCUACCUAUCCUGAAGAAUAUGAAAGUGAUGCGUCAAGUUGUCAACUUAAAGCUUGAUAUACUGGUGCCGAUCAAGGAAAGAGUUGAGAUUAUAUAGAAGGAUUCGGUGCAAUUCAUGUUUAAUCAGCUUCGCAAUCUUGUCAAAAUGACCAAAUAAAAUUGUGACUUUUAAGAGAUUGCCAUGAUAACGUGAUGAGGUUGCUGGCAUUAUUUGGUGCUUGGGAAACAAAGCAUCACAGGUAUGUGGUGAUUGAGCUUCUCAAAAAAAAUUAGGUCUGCCACUUAUCUAAUGAAUUGAACACAUAAACCACUGAAAGAAGUUGAGUGUGCAAAGGCAAAUGGCUACAGCUAUAUUUGCACAGUAAUAGAAAAGUUGUAAUCGGGCUGAUGGUGCACAGGUGAUGGAUGUAUAUUGCAUGUUCGAGGGCUUAAUUUUUCAUGUACUCAUUUUUAAUGCGGAUUAGAUAUGCCUGGUGAGGUGACCAAAUUGAACCUGCCAAUUCUAGUUGGGGCAAGAAUAAUGUUUGAUAUGCAAGCUUUCUUGUGAAGGAAGGAGCAGCAUGAAGGUUGCAUUUUUGAAGAUUGAUGAUCAAAGCACUUGUGUAUAUGGAGGUUAAUUGAUAGUAUAUACAACACUGCCACAGUGCAGUCAAGACAUUGCAGUAGUGAAAACAAUUCAGAGCACUUAUCCAACAAGGACAUGUAUG